AAACACCUGUAAAUUUUGAUCUCGGCAAUCAUGGAACGCCCGAGUCCCUUCGAAACCACUUGCUGACCACGCCAGAUUUCUCCGAGACUACCCCACCCAAUUAACUAUCAAAUUUUCUAGGCGCCGAAGAUUAAUGCGCGUGGGUUAGGAGCCAACAUUGGCUUUGAUUCUUUCAUUUGUCUAAUGAAUAUAACCUCCAAACACAGGAAUAAAGGUUGAGUGAUAUCAUGAACUUAUCCGACUUGAACUUUUGAUAAGUUCUCCACUCCAUGAAGUUAUUUUACAAUGCUGAAGGGGGCCCUCAUGUGGGGUUAGAAGGCAUGAUCACUCUCCCCCACCAUCACAUUCAACACAUCAAAUUAAGGCAAGAUGCAUGGAGUCUUCAAGAUCAUUUAAAUGGAGACCAUGCUUUUGCGUUUUAACUCCUUCUCUCUCUCUUGUAGCUAUCAAAAGGUAGUAGAAACAAUGGAAAUAAUAAUUCAUUGAUUAUAGUUUAAAAAAGGGAUCAAAAUAACAAAAACAAAGGAAAUGAUCCUGAAAACAUGAGAUGUGAUCAAAACCCUAAACAAUCUUACAUCAAAUUACAAGCACGCAUGGUACUUAUAAUAUUUGCAGUAAACCGAGGUUUUUUUUUUUUCAAAAGGGAA